AGCAGUCGCCGCGGUAAUACGGAGGGAGCUAGCGUUGUUCGGAAUUACUGGGCGUAAAGCGCGCGUAGGCGGUUACUCAAGUCAGAGGUGAAAGCCCGGGGCUCAACCCCGGAACUGCCUUUGAAACUAGGUGACUAGAAUCUUGGAGAGGUCAGUGGAAUUCCGAGUGCAGAGGUGAAAUUCGUAGAUAUUCGGAAGAACACCAGUGGCGAAGGCGACUGACUGGACAAGUAUUGACGCUGAGGUGCGAAAGCGUGGGGAGCAAACAGGAUUAGAUACCCCCGUAGUCCCUGUCUCUUAUAA
rnacentral:rRNA from 1 species